rnacentral:lncRNA from 1 species
AAUAAUAUUCAUAGGUAAUCUGAUCAUAAAUCCACGAUUCAUCGGAUCUCGACAGACACACCGCAAAAGAAAGUUACAUCGGAUAGAUCUCCAUGAAGAUCAUGGAGAGCUUUGUAUUGAAGAUCCAAGAUAGAGAAGCCAUCUAUCUACUAGCUAUGGACCCGAAGGUCUGUGGUGAACUACUCACGCAUCAUCGGAGAAGCAAUGGUGUUGAUGAAGAAGCCCUCCGUGUCCGAAUCCCCCUCCG